rnacentral:lncRNA from 1 species
UCCGGAUAAGCUAAAGCAGAGCAAGCGACUUGAGUUUAGUGCUAACUCUUUUAUUCCCAAUUUUCUAAUUUUGUAUUCACACCUUCAUUUUACUAGUUCCAAGCGUAUUUAAUGAAAAUAGGCGAACACCGUAUUGUCAGCCAUGGCGGCAGAAGAGGAAAAUAACAUAGAAGCAUUGAAGUCAUCCCUUGCUCAGUACAAGACACAGCUAUCAGAAAUAGAAGAAGCUAUUAAAUCUAGCUCCGAUGAAAGCACGAAAGGAGAUCUCGUCCAACUUGGAAGGGAUAUUCAAGAACUGAUUUCCCUCACAGAAGAGAACCUGUCACAGUUGGAAUCAGCAAGUAGAAAAAAAGCUUUCGAAGAUGAGCUCGCUCAAUUUGAUGCUGAAAUCGAGAAUUUGGAGGGUAGUGGUAGCAAUGAGCCUGAAGCUUCCAAUUUAGCAGAUAUACAGAACGAGCUAGAACACAUAGUAGGAUCGAAAUGUCAAGCUCCUUUUGAUCAUUUUGGCGAAUCAAGUUAUCACAAUGCCCUUGUUAUCAAUGUAGAGACUCCAGAAGAAGUAUCGUCAAUGGACGAUAUCAUGGUAAGUUCGUAGUUCUCUUAGCCCUUAUUAAUAUUCCAACUGAUUAUUCGGAAUAUCCUCAGUUUUGCUGCGUAUGUAGUGUAAUUUCUAUUCUAAUUUUUUCU